CUUAAAGAUUUUACAGCAGUGUAUUUUGGCUCUGCAUAUUGCUUUCGGAAGAAUCCCCAAGCACAAAUUUGGAAUGUAUUUGAAAAGCAGUUAACAAAAGGAACAAAACAAAAGCAACAUUUUAUGUCACCGCCAGUUAUUAUAUCCGGUUAAAACCCCAAAAGAACUCAGAUGCCACCAGUAACAAAAAAAAUUUGAAUGCUGCUUUGAAAAGAAAGGAAAAAACAAUGAAAAUUUAGCAUUAUAACUGACAUUAACCAGGCGAGACUAAAACAUCAUAAUUUUAUUAAUCGAAUACAUGAAAUAAAUCAUAUUUUACUAUAGAAUGCAUUUCAGAUAUCAUGAUAACUCAUUUGGUUGAAAUGAAACAACCCAUGAUCAGGAAGGGUUGUAGAGUGUCAUUAAAACCUCCGAGAAACAACUCCAUGACUAUAUAUAACAUUAUAUUCAGGUACAGAAAUGUUAUAUUUUUAUUCUCUGAAACAAUGAUUUAUCUAACGGGAGACUUGAAUUGUGCUGAUUUCAUAUGCGUUAUUUACUUGUGCACUAUACAGACUUGUUAUAAUUACAAAGUCCUGUCUAACAAAAUUAAGCAAAUCUACAAAGAAAAUAUCUACGAUAAUCCAGGAUUCAUGGAAGAGGAUGUCAUACAGAUAUUUCGUAAUACAGGAUAUUU